rnacentral:rRNA from 1 species
AGGACGAACGCUGGCGGCGUGCUUAACACAUGCAAGUCGAACGGUGAAGCCCUUCGGGGUGGAUCAGUGGCGAACGGGUGAGCAACACGUGAGCAACCUACCCCUGACUCUGGGAUAACUCCGGGAAACCGGUGCUAAUACCGGAUACGAGCAGCGGCCUCAUGGUCUGUUGUUGGAAAGAAUUUUGGCAGGGAUGGGCUCGCGGCCUAUCAGCUUGUUGGUGAGGUAAUGGCUCACCAAGGCGACG